rnacentral:tRNA from 1 species
GCUAGUGUAGCUUAACUUAAAGCAUAACACUGAAGACGUUAACAUGGGGCCUAGAAACCCCCACAAGCA